UAACGGCGAAGCGAAGCGGCAAUAGCUCAAAUUUGAAAUCUGGCUCUUUCAGGGUCCGAGUUGUAAUUUGCAGAGGGCGCUUUGGCGUCGGCAGCAGCCUAAGUUCCUUGGAACAGGCCAUCAUAGAGGGUGAGAAUCCCGUAUGUGGCUGCUUGUCUUCGCCGUGUAAAGCCCCUUCGAUGAGUCGAGUUGUUUGGGAAUGCAGCUCUAAAUGGGAGGUAAAUUUCUUCUAAAGCUAAAUAUUGGCCAGAGACCGAUAGCGCACAAGUAGAGUGAUCGAAAGAUGAAAAGCACUUUGGAAAGAGAGUCAAAAAGCACGUGAAAUUGUUGAAAGGGAAGCGCUUGCAGCCAGACGUGCCCGUAGUUGCUCAUCGGGGGUUCUCCCCCGUGUACUCUUCUAUGGGCAGGCCAGCAUCAGUCCGGGCGGUUGGAGAAAGACCUGUGUCAUGUAGCUGUUUUCGGGCAGUGUUAUAGGGCAGGUGGAAUGCAACCAGCCUGGACUGAGGUCCGCGCAUCUGCUAGGAUGCUGGCGUAAUGGCUGUAAGCGGCCCGUCUUGAAACACGGACCAAGGAGUCUAACAUCUAUGCGAGUGUUUGGGUGUCAAGCCCGAGCGCGUAAUGAAAGUGAACGGA
rnacentral:rRNA from 1 species